rnacentral:rRNA from 1 species
UACGUAGGAUGCAAGCGUUGUUCGGAAUUACUGGGCGUAAAGGGCUCGUAGGCGGCCAACUAAGUCAGACGUGAAAUCCCUCGGCUUAACCGGGGAACCGCCUCUGAUACUGGCUGGCUGGAGUUCGGGAGAGGGAUGCGGAAUUCCAGGUGUAGCGGUGAAAUGCGUAGAUAUCUGGAGGAACACCGGUGGCGAAGGCGGCAUCCUGGACCGACACUGACGCUGAGGAGCGAAAGCCAGGGGAGCAAACGGG